rnacentral:rRNA from 1 species
UACGGAGGGUGCAAGCGUUGUCCGGAUUUAUUGGGUUUAAAGGGUGCGUAGGCGGCUAUUUAAGUCAGCGGUGAAAGACAUCGGCUCAACCGAUGCAGUGCCAUUGAUACUGGAUAGCUUGAGUGUUGGAGGGGUACAUGGAAUUGAUGGUGUAGCGGUGAAAUGCAUAGAUACCAUCAGGAACACCGAUAGCGAAGGCAUUGUACUGGCCAACAACUGACGCUGAGGCACGAAAGCAUGGGUAGCGAACAGGAUUAGAUACCCUGGUAGUCCAUGCCGUAAACGAUGAUUACUCGCUGUUAUGCCGUAGGGUGUAGCGGCCAAGCGAAAGCGUUAAGUAAUCCACCUGGGGAGUACGCCGGCAACGGUGAA